UACGAAGGGGGCUAGCGUUGUUCGGAAUUACUGGGCGUAAAGGGCUCGUAGGCGGCCAACUAAGUCGGACGUGAAAUCCCCAGGCUCAACCUGGGAACUGCGUCCGAUACUGGAUGGCUUGAAUCCGGGAGAGGGAUGCAGAAUUCCAGGUGUAGCGGUGAAAUGCGUAGAUAUCUGGAGGAACACCGGUGGCGAAGGCGGGGUCUCUGGGCCCGUAACUGACGCUGAGGAGCGAAAGCAUGGGGAGCGAACAGGG
rnacentral:rRNA from 1 species